rnacentral:rRNA from 1 species
UUUUAUUUGAGAGUUUGAUCCUGGCUCAGGAUGAACGCUGGCGGCGUGCUUAACACAUGCAAGUCGAGCGAAGCAUUUUAAAUGAAGUUCUCGGAUGGAUUUUGGAAUGACUGAGCGGCGGACGGGUGAGUAACGCGUGGAUAACCUGCCUUAUACAGGGGGAUAACAGCCAGAAAUGGCUGCUAAUACCGCAUAAGC